rnacentral:misc_RNA from 1 species
AAAGUCGUAACAAGGUUUCCGUAGGUGAACCUGCGGAAGGAUCAUUAUUAGGGAGUUGUUGAGGUUUUAUUUUACUGUAUGGAAAGUACAGCAAGAAAUAUUUAACAAUUACAAAUUAAAAGAUUACAUAAGCACCUUGCUGCAAUGGAUCUCUCGGCUCUU